rnacentral:rRNA from 1 species
UACGUAGGGGGCAAGCGUUGUCCGGAUUUAUUGGGCGUAAAGAGCGUGUAGGCGGCCGUACAGGUCAGCUGUGAAAACUCGAGGCUCAACCUCGAGACGUCGGUUGAAACCGUAUGGCUAGAGUCCGGAAGAGGAGAGUGGAAUUCCUGGUGUAGCGGUGAAAUGCGUAGAUAUCAGGAGGAACACCUGUGGCGAAAGCGGCUCACUGGACCAUAACUGACGCUGAUGCACGAAAGCUAGGGGAGCAAACAGG